rnacentral:rRNA from 1 species
GGGGACUUCGGUCCGCCGGCGAGUGGCGAACGGGUGAGUAAAGUAUCGGAACGUACCUUUCAGUGGGGGAUAACGUAGCGAAAGUUACGCUAAUACCGCAUAUUCUGUGAGCAGGAAAGCAGGGGAUCGCAAGACCUUGCGCUGAUUGAGCGGCCGAUAUCAGAUUAGCUAGUUGGUGGGGUAAAGGCCUACCAAGGCGACGAUCUGUAGCGGGUCUGAGAGGAUGAUCCGCCACACUGGAACUGAGACACGGUCCAGACUCCUACGGGAGGCAGCAGUGGGGAAUUUUGGACAAUGGGGGCAACCCUGAUCCAGCCAUGCCGCGUGAGUGAAGAAGGCCUUCGGGUUGUAAAGCUCUUUCGGCCGGGAAGAAAUCGCACAGGCUAAUACCCUGUGUGGAUGACGGUACCGGAAUAAGAAGCACCGGCUAACUACGUGCCAGCAGCCGCGGUAAUACGUAAGGGUGCGAGCGUUAAUCGGAAUUACUGGGCGUAAAGCGUGCGCAGGCGGUUUCGUAAGACAGAGGUGAAAUCCCCGGGCUCAACCUGGGAACUGCCUUUGUGACUGCGAGGCUAGAGUAC